rnacentral:rRNA from 1 species
AGCGAACGCUGGCGGCAGGCCUAACACAUGCAAGUCGAACGAAGCCUUCGGGCUUAGUGGCGGACGGGUGAGUAACACGUGGGAACGUACCUUUUGGUUCGGAAUAACGCAGAGAAAUUUGCGCUAAUACCGAAUGAGCCCUUCGGGGGAAAGAUUUAUCGCCGAAAGAUCGGCCCGCGUUGGAUUAGGUAGUUGGUGUGGUAAAGGCGCACCAAGCCUACGAUCCAUAGCUGGUCUGAGAGGAUGAUCAGCCACACUGGGACUGAGACACGGCCCAGACUCCUACGGGAGGCAGCAGUGGGGAAUCUUGCGCAAUGGGCGAAAGCCUGACGCAGCCAUGCCGCGUGAAUGAUGAAGGUCUUAGGAUUGUAAAAUUCUUUUACCAGGGACGAUAAUGACAGUGCCUGGAGAAAAAGCCCCGGCUAACUUCGUGCCAGCCGCCGCGGUAAUAC